CAAAUUGAAAGCAUCAUGAAUUUCGCAUCCAUAAUUGUUGGUCUAAUUGCCUUAGUCGGUUAUUCGCAAGCCAGAAGAACUGGAUGGGGAAGCUAUCCUCGUCCAUCGUCAUCCUCAACCUAAAUGGGAAACUACAAGAGUCUAGCAAAAAAAUU